rnacentral:rRNA from 1 species
AGUUCGGAGAGUUUGAUCUUGGCUCAGGACGAACGCUGACGGCGUGCUUUAGACAUGCAAGUCGAACGAGAACACCCUUCGGGGCCAGUAAAGUGGCGAACGGGUGAGUAACACGUGGGCAACCUGCCCCUCGCAGGGGGACAACCGGAGGAAACUCCGGCUAAUACCCCGUAAACUCUUGGAGUCGAGUGACUCUGGGAGGAAAGGUAGCUUCGGCCAUCCGGCGAGGGAUGGGCCCGCGGUACAUUAGCUAGUUGGUGGGGUAACGGCCCACCAAGGCGACGAUGUAUAGCUGGUCUGAGAGGAUGAUCAGCCACACUGGG